AAAGGUGCCUGAACCAGCUCAGAGCUGGGAGCCUAAGAAUCCAUCCCCAUCCAGGGCCAGACCACGGGGAAGGAAGAUCCAGCACCAAUGGCAACAAGGAAGGAGCCCGCAGCAGCCUGUCCACCGUGAGCAGAACCCUGGAGAAGCUGAAGCCGGGGACCCGGGGGGCUGAGGAAUGCUGAGGCAAAGUCUGAGUGGCUGCCCAUGCCCUGCCCUCCCGUCCUGCCUGCUGCCCCUAUCUCAGUGCCCUCCUGGGUUAGAAGACCCGGACCGGAGACAAGCCAGGCCCUGCAGACCCCAGAGCGGCUGGGAACAGUGUCUGGAAUGGGGCCUUUUGCACGCGCCCGGCCAAGCCUCUCCAAAAUGGAUUCCACUGGUGUGGGCUGGGGCCUGGAGCAAGGUGUCGCCGGACGCCCCCACAGGGUUCCUAUGUUUCAGGCUCCUGCCCUGGCCUUUCUUUCUGGACUGCAGCUCAGCUUUGUUGCCUGUUCAAUCUACUGAUUUGUUUCUCUGGAAUUUGGGGUCCAAGGCCCUGACUAUGACCAGGAUGCCCCAGUCCCUUG
rnacentral:sRNA from 1 species